rnacentral:rRNA from 1 species
GACGAACGCUGGCGGCGUGCUUAACACAUGCAAGUCGAACGGAAAGGCUCCAGCUUGCUGGAGUACUCGAGUGGCGAACGGGUGAGUAACACGUGGGUAAUCUGCCCUGCACUCUGGGAUAAGCCUGGGAAACUGGGUCUAAUACUGGAUAUGACCUUUCUCCUUAUGGGGUUUGGUGGAAAGUUUUUCGGUGUAGGAUGAGCCCGCGGCCUAUCAGCUUGUUGGUGGGGUGAUGGCCUACCAGGGCGACGACGGGUAGCCGGCCUGAGAGGGUGAUCGGCCACAUUGGGACUGAGAUACGGCCCAGACUCCUACGGGAGGCAGCAGUGGGGAAUAUUGCACAAUGGGCGGAAGCCUGAUGCAGCGACGCCGCGUGAGGGAUGACGGCCUUCGGGUUGUAAACCUCUUUCAGCAGGGACGAAGCGUAAGUGACGGUACCUGCAGAAGAAGCACCGGCUAACUAUGUG